GUGGCGACAUGGAGCAAAUACCCAAAAAUAAACGUCCCAGUUCGGAUUGUAGUCUGCAACCCGACUACAUGAAGCCGGAAUCGCUAGUAAUCGCGGAUCAGAAUGCCGCGGUGAAUACGUUCCCGGGUCUUGUACACACCGCCCGUCACACCAUGGGAGUUGGGGAUACCCGAAGCCUGUGAGCUAACAGUAAUGGAGCAGCAGUCGAAGGUAGAAUCAAUGAUUGGGGUGAAGUCGUAACAAGGUAAC
rnacentral:rRNA from 1 species